GGGGGUGUAUGGUUUUGACAGCGUAGGUCUUUGAAGGUAUAAGCAUGUCGUGCGUUGGAUAAUUAGCACGUAAAUCUGAAUAUUCAAAACACAAAUGGCAAUACUACGUAUGCCAUGGCUGCCUAAUCAGUGAUUAAGUAGUCAUUAGGGCCGCCGGGCAGGUUGUUCUGUAACCAAGCCCCGCCGCCGACUUAAAAAAAAUACAGAAUGCUGCAACCGAAGGCUGUGCCUGUUGCUUAAGACUAUUCAGCUAAGGAAGUAAUUGGUUCGUCCGUCUCCUGCUACUUCCCGACAAUCAAUGCCGGAAUAAACAUGUAGAAAGCUUUUGAAGGAUAUGUUUGGACACCGGUUCGAAUCCGGUCACCUCCACAA
rnacentral:tmRNA from 1 species